rnacentral:rRNA from 1 species
UGUCGGGACCCGAAAGAUGGUGAACUAUGCCUGAAUAGGGCGAAGCCAGGGGAAACUCUGGUGGAGGCUCAUAGCGGUUGUGACGUGCAAAUCCAUCGUAAAAUUUGGGUAUAGGGGCGAAAGACUAAUCGAACCAUCUAGUAGCUGGUUCCCUCCGAAGUUUCCCUCAGGAUAGCUGGAGCUCUUUUUUUCAGUUUUGUCAGGUAAAGCGAAUGAUUAGAGGUCUUGGGGCUGAAACAGCCUUAACCUAUUCUCAAACUUUAAAUGGGCAAGGUGGUGGGUGCUUAAUUGACCCGCCGCGUUGAAUGUGAGCUCCAAGUGGGCCAUUUUUGGUAAGCAGAACUGGCGAUGCGGGAUCAACCGAACGUCGAGAUAAGGUGCCCAAGUGUCCGCUCAUCAGACUCCCCAAAAGCUGUUGGUUCAUUUAGACAGCAGGACGGUGGCCAUGGAAGUCGGAAUCCGCUAAGGAGUGUGUAACAACUCACCUGCCGAAUGAACUAGC